rnacentral:tRNA from 1 species
AAGGAUUUAAGUUAAAUAAACUAUUAACCUUCAAAGUUAAAAAAAUAAUUGUCAUUAUAAACCUUA